UAUUUGCCCAAGGUCUGUCCGCAGAUCACGGGGACUAUAGGGAGACCCGCUGGCGCGAAGUCAGAGGAAGGCGAGGGCAACGGUAGGUCAGUAUGCUCCGAAUGCUAUGGGCUACACGCGCAAUACAAAGGACGGGACAAUGGGCUGCAACUCCGAGAGGAAUGACGCUAUCCCGAAACCCGUUCGUAGUUCGGAUUGAGGGCUGUAACUCGCCCUCAUGAAGCUGGAUUAGGUAGUAAUCGCGUCUCAAAAAGGCGCGGUGAAUAUGCCCCUGCUCCUUGCACACACCGCCCGUCAAACCAUCUUAGUUGUGGGUGGGUGAGGCUGCCUCUCUUUCGAGAUGUGGUAUUCGAGCCUGCCUUCGACAAGGAGGGUUAAGUCGUAACAAGGUA
rnacentral:rRNA from 1 species